GUAAUUACGUGUGCUUGUCUGAUCUUCCAACUUCUCUUUCUAAAAGCCGGUCUCAUCCAUCCUUGGAGAACUCUUCUUUUGGGAGAAGAUGAUGAUUUACUCAUAGGAUGAGAUCGUUGAAUGGAAGGUUCUACAAGUUUUUCCCGGCAGAUUUCUCCGACCGUUCCGGCGAGAGGCGGUGCUCUAAUUGCAAACUCCGUUACAGCCAUGCCGAUACAGGGAAUUGUUAUGUGUUGACUCCUUUGUUGUUAAGAUGCAAGUCCCUUUGUGGUGGUAUUAUGCAAUUUGAUAAUAUGGUUUUUAGCAUUGAUCUACUUUGGUUUCGUGAAAAGCUCCAACAGGCUAUGAUGAUAGUGGUGAAAUGUUGCUAGGCAUGGCAUAAUCGAGGACGGCAGGUGUAAUGUUUUUCACCUGCAACCCGUGUUGCAGCCAUGAUUAUCAAACAACUAGAUCUGAGCCUAAUCUGCAAACAUGGUUGCAUAAAUUCAUAAAGCGGAUUGAUUAGCUUUGUUCUGUAUUUUGUGUGUUCUUUUUAUUUAUUUAUUUAUUUGUUCAUAUGGCAUUGUGGUCGCUGUUUAAAAGCAUUUACAACAAUAAUGAUUUCAAGAUGUAUACUAUACCAUUAUGUUUAUGUUUCUUAAAGUUUAUGAGUAAGUUCGAUUCUUUAAAGGGGUUUGCUUGCUAUUCUAUUUGCAGCAAGCUAAUAUCUGGUCACGUGUUUGAGCUUGCCACCAAAACUACCGUAGACUAAUCCUUCGCUCAAACACAUCAAUCUCUAUUCUGCAGAUAAGGAUAAAAAACUGAUAUUUUAAGUUAAACCUGCGAUUUGAUUGUUUGAUUCUGUUGUGAGUCUCCUUGAUCAAGUUGAUUUGAUGAUUAAAUUUGUGUCUUUGUUUGUUUCAUGUAGUGCAUUUUCAGCUAGGCUUUGACAACCCUAAACUGGAUGCAUAUCGCAUCUCCUUCUCUUUCUCUCCGUCACCUGUAUUUUUUUCAUUGUUGGAAUAAAACAACACGUCUCGACUUUGACUGGAGAUAGUAAUGGAGGGUUAGAGCCUUAGAGGUGGUAUACGAAGUGUGUGUCAGCGAUGGCGCAACGGUCAUCUAGGGCUCUGACCAAGGGGUUUAUUAGAAGUGGAACCGGUCAGUACUAAGGUUUCGGUCAGCUUUGUGGGUUGGAGUAGUUUCGGGCAUUCAUGCUAACCAUAAAAGGCCUUGGCAGUUCCCUCUUAAAAAAACAGAUUUUGUGGGGUCCCGAAGGAUAUCGGGUCGGUUGAGAAAGAUUUUACAAGUUUUAAUUUAUCCAUUAAGAACAAUGUGCUGGGGGUAGUGGGGAACCGGUACAAAAUCAAAUUUGGUUAAGACUAUUGGCUAGAAGGUUGUCCACUCAGGAGCAGGCUUCCAGCUGUAUUUAAUUUAGUGGAAGAUAAAGAAGCGUGGGUGGCUCAAUGUGGGUACCAGCUGGGAGGGGAGAUGCUUUGGUUAUGGGAUUGGAUUUCAGGUAUGUUAAGAAUAUCGAAUGGAAGAAGUAUAAGGAUCUUAUGGAUUGUUUGAGCUCUCUGAAAAUCAGCGAGUAACCAGAUAAGUGGGUUUGGAAACCGAGUAAGGAAGAGUCCUUUUCAGCGGCGGGUGUACGGGAGGAGCUUAAAAAAGUUUACGCACCCAAUUUGGGAUAUGGGAUGGGAUCGGUGGAACAGUUGGGCUCCAGCAGAGCUGAACUACUUUAUGUGGAGAGCCUUCGACGAGAGAUGCGGGAUAGGGACUAAGACAUGCGAUCAUCUCCUUUCUUCUUGCAUCAUUGCCCAGUCGAUAUUGUGGUGCAUCCUGGUGUGGCUAAAAAUCCCGAUACCAUCAAAUCAGUUCUCAACUAAAGGUUUAUGGGAUCUCUUGGGGAAAUGUAAGGGUUCCAAGUAGUGGAAGAAAGUGGUGGGCAUUGUCUUUCUUCCCACAUCCUGGGCUAUAUGGACGCACAGGAACGAGCUGCAAUUUAAUUGGAGAAACGGGUCGAUUACUAAGGCAGUGGAUGCGAUUAAGGAGAUGUCUCUGGUUUGGGUUAGGUGUGGAUCUAAAUUAAAAGAGCUUGAUUGGGGUAGGUGGCGUGAGUUCAGUGUAAGGGACGCGACCUGUGUGUUUUGUUUUUUGGGUGCCAGUGUUGCUUACUGAAUGUUGAUAUGUUCAAAAAAGAAACUAAGGUUUCGGUAGUUUUGUUAUCAGUGGAAUUCUCUAGAUAGCCGAUGCAGUAAUCAUUAUUUCCGAUAUCUUUAGGGAACUUGCUGUCUGGAAGCACCAAGUGGAGUGACCACUAUUGUGUGUAGCUUCUUACUAAUACUUUAAAAUGUAGAAUCCUGCAAGAGAAUAAAUAUUCACUUCGCUAACAAUUAUAUGUUUCCCUAGAGAAGGAAUUAUAAUUUAGUAUGCAUAAAGACACUUCCUCUAAUUAUAUAUAUAAAACUUACAGGUGUCUUGUGUUGGUG